CAUAUGAACAUCUUUUCAUAUUUUAUUUUGCCUGGAAACACUUCCAACACGCAUGCGUGUCGUGAAAAGUUUCUGGCGUUGU